UAAAUACUCUAAAUUGUUACUUCAAUCUCCCAAAUGUAAAUUUUGGUCAUACCUAAUCUUAUUUUUUCAUAUUUGGCACUUUUUUCUACUUCAGUUCUAGCUGUCUAGUUUUGGCGAAGAACCCAUCCUGAUGUCCGGGUAACAGGAAUUUCUGCAGAGUGAUUGUCAAUGACAUUUUGUGAAAUUUACAAUUCUAGCUGUCUAGUUUUGGCGAAGAACCCAUCCUGAUGUCCGGGUAACAGGAAUUUCUGCAGAGUGAUUGUCAAUGACAUUUUGUGUAAUUAACAAUUCUAGCUGUCUAGUUUUGGCGAAGAACCCAUCCUGAUGUCCGGGUAACAGGAAUUUCUGCAGAGUGAUUGUCAAUGACAUUUUGUGUAAUUAACAAUUCUAGCUGUCUAGUUUUGGCGAAGAACCCAUCCUGAUGUCCGGGUAACAGGAAUUUCUGCAGAGUGAUUGUCAAUGACAUUUUGUGUAAU